GACGAACCGUGCGAACGUUGUUCGGAAUCACUGGGCUUAAGGGGCGCGUAGGCGGCUCAUCAAGUCCGGGGUGAAAGCCCCCAGCUCAACUGGGGAAGUGCCUCGGAUACUGGUGAGCUCGAGGGAGGUAGGGGCGGAUGGAACUUCCGGUGGAGCGGUGAAAUGCGUUGAUAUCGGAAGGAACGCCGGUGGCGAAAGCGAUCCGCUGGCCCUCUACUGACGCUGAGGCGCGAAAGCCAGGGGAGCAAACGGG
rnacentral:rRNA from 1 species